CAACAGAAUAAGAAUGUUCUGUUAUAACAGUGAACAAAGGGACUAAUUAUUACUUACAGAUCCUCAACUGAUGGACAUCCAGUAUAGAUUUAAUAAUCAAGGAAGAUAUCAGUUUUUGAUGCAACAACAUGCUUGGAUAGAAUAUGUAUUCACUUUAUUUAAAAGGGUAUAAAUAGUCCUCAUCAGCCAUGCACAUGGAUGAUAAAUCACUGGGUAUUGUGGUAACAAAGAUUCAUUUACUGUCCUUUAACACCAGUAUUGAGGCUCCCGUUCCCAUCUUUUCUGCAAGUCCACCUGUGAUUCUCUUCACAGACUACAGAGUUGGACGAGUCUAUGAGUUCUGUAUAUUUUCAGUUCUGAAUGGUGCCUCCUGUUUCCUGUAGACUGCGGUGGAGCUAAAAAACAUGACUGCAACCAGUCAUCACAUUCGACUAAUUCCUCCAACCUCUCCACACUUAUCUGUCGGUUUGGGUGAGUCUCCACAACAACAACAACAACAACAACAACAACAACAAAAAGACCAAUUUCUGACCUAAUAAAAGCUUCAUCCAUGUUGGCAGAAUGUCUGCCUUCAAUUUAAAUGUCUCAGGAUUCUGUAUAAAGUAAAAAGGCAUAAAGGUAAAGUGUGUGAUUUCUGUGAAUUUAAGGUAUUGCACAAAGAAUUACUUUUUUUAAAACAGGUUUCCUGAACACUCCCCCAUCUGCCACUGGUCAAAUAAACAUAUACUCAAACUAAUGCCUUCGAUUGUGCCAUUGUUCCUAUAUCAGGCUGGUCGGGAUGCAUAAAUAUUACAAUGUCUUGAUGUUUGAAUGGUUGCACUACAAUAGCACAAUGUUUACAUCUUUUAAGCUGGAAUAGGAGAAAAUAUUUGAACAUAGAAAAAAAAUGACACACCUCAACUUUAAAUUGCAGCUCUGUGUGGCAGAAUAGGGAAACAGUGACAUCUGCUGCUAAAAGUGCAAAUAAAUCUGCUCAUCCAGGCACAUACAUAAUGAAAUUUGAAUUAGCAUUUUUUAUGUGUUGUAAGCAUAGGUCUUUAUGAAUAUAUAACACAGUGUAACAGAGGUAUAUGUUCCAUAGGCAGGUUCCCUGGUGAGGGGGGAAUUGUAGCACCUGGUAUGAGCUGCCAGUAUAUGGUGCGGUUUGCUCCAGACUCUCUGGCUGAUUAUGAGGACAUCCUUGUCAUGGAGACACAGUCGCCAUAUCCUCUGAUUAUACCAGUGGAGGCUCACAGGCCACCUCCAAUACUGACUUUUAUCUUUCAGGUUUUCUUUUCUCUUGCUGUGAGCUGGUGUUGGCUGAUCUGUAUGUUGGAGUUCCACAGAAGGGCAGCGUGACUCUAUUUAACCAAACACUACUGCCAGCAUGCUUCACCUGGAGCAAGUAUUGCACAUUAUACUACAGUACAGUGAUAUUGUAAGGGAUGGACUGGAUGAAUCUCCUUAGUCAUUCUCAGGGUCUUCUCUCCCUCUCAGCUCCAAGGUGCACACGCUUAUCUCUGCUCUGCAACCUUUAGCCCCUCUGCAGGCACUGUGGAGCCUCAUGCCAAAACUAAAGUCUCUGUAUCAUUCAUGGCUCACACUGUUGUGUCUUUAUUGCAGUACUGCAAACAGUCCCAACUUCACUUCAGCUAUGCCAUUUAAUACAAUGUUUUUUUGUUUUUGUUUUUUUAGUUGUUUGAUUUUAUGGUUCCAGGAUGAUCUGACUGAAGUGGAAUAAAGAGUCCAUUAGAGCUGGGCUUUUUCUGUAAAGCCAAACCUCUUAUUGUGUCCUACUCACUGCCUCAUACUGACUGACACUGUGUCACGCUCUUUAUGCCUCAUUAACACCAGUCCUUAUGGUGAGCUGAGCGCCACAUUUAUCCGUAUGGACUGGGUGAACUACAUCCUGGAGGCUGGAGACAGUAAGUUGAUAGACCUGUUAGUUGCAUGUGAUGAACCCUUUCCUCUGAAGGAUGCUGAUGGCAAUGAUGUUGUCGGAGGGCUGGACUCAUGCAUCAUGUUCCCGUCCACGUGGGAUGAAAAUCACACCCUCAGCAGAGAAGACACAAACUGGUCCUUCAUGACCAAGUCUGAUGAUUUAGCAGAGAAUGAGGAAGAAUGUGAUGGAGAGGAGAGAAAUGGAAGUCCUAUAUCUCUGGCUCCAGUAAAGAAGCCGUUCUCACAUAAAUAGACUGAACUUACUAACAGUAUUUUACUCAUUGUGAUAAGAAAGAUUUCCAGACAACUAUCACAGUGCAUGGGAUUAUUGGAGAGACCUCACUUCUUCUUAACGUUUAUGGAAGAGGAACACUUGAUGAGUUUUGUAUCUCUGGUAUCUGACACCUGACAAAAAAUACUCACUUGUGAGUGUCUAGUAUUAUCAUAGACAAUACUAGACACUUGCAACUUGUAUAACCAUCAUUCUUUAGUUUGAUGACGCACUGUUCUUAAAAAAAACUCUCUA